CCUACGGGUGGCAGCAGUGAGGAAUAUUGGUCAAUGGACGAGAGUCUGAACCAGCCAAGUAGCGUGAAGGAUGACUGCCCUAUGGGUUGUAAACUUCUUUUAUAUGGGAAUAAAACGUUCCACGUGUGGGAUUUUGUAUGUACCAUAUGAAUAAGGAUCGGCUAACUCCGUGCCAGCAGCCGCGGUAAUACGGAGGAUCCGAGCGUUAUCCGGAUUUAUUGGGUUUAAAGGGAGCGUAGGUGGAUUGUUAAGUCAGUUGUGAAAGUUUGCGGCUCAACCGUAAAAUUGCAGUUGAAACUGGCAGUCUUGAGGACAGUAGAGGUGGGCGGAAUUCGUGGUGUAGCGGUGAAAUGCUUAGAUAGCACGAAGAACUCCGAUUGCGAAGGCAGUUCACUGGACUGCAACUGACACUGAGGCUCGAAAGUGUGGGUAUCAAACAGGAUUAGAUACCCUUGUAGUC
rnacentral:rRNA from 1 species